UGGAAAGGGGUGGCCGAUCAGGCACAUCAGGCACCGUGACUGUUCUCUUCUUUGUGUUUAUCGCAUCAUCUGGAGGGGAGCGCUCCUGGCAGAGGCCACUUCCAACUUUCCAACCCUCUCGGCCAGCACUAUCUAUCUUGUAAGGCGGCUCCUUGCGGUGGAAAGCAUCCAACAUUGUUGCAAUAAGGUGGAUUUAAGAGGUUUAUUUAAACUGGUCUGAACCGUCUGAACAUUCGAAACACUGAAGGGAGAUUCAUUCCUACAUCAAGUAUCUCAUUGCUAAGGCUUAACAUUUAAAAUUCAAUGUUGGCUAGAAAUCUUACGAUUCUAUACGGAAGUCAAUCCGGAACGGCACAAGACCUGGCCGAGCAGAUAUGGCGCGAUUCCAAAAUGUAUCACCUGAAAGGGGCCGUUUCCGCCAUGGAUGAAUAUGAUAUUGCAAAAUUGAUCGACGAGCGAUUUGUCGUCAUGGUGUGUUCCACUUAUGGCCAAGGCGAGGAACCGGACAAUAUGAAGCGAUUUUGGAAGUUCCUUCUUCGGAAAAAUCUUCCUUCGGAUUCACUGCGCGGAAUGUUCUUUGGAGUGCUGGGAUUGGGGGAUUCGCGAUACCCAAAGUUUAACUAUGUUGCGAAGCGUCUCCACAAAAGACUACUUCAACUUGGUGCGACGGCCCUACUUCCAGUGGGACUUUGUGAUGAUCAGCACGACUUGGGAUACGGAGCAGUUUUCAUGCCUUGGAUUACAAACUUCUGGAACAAGUUGAUCGAGCUGAGUCCAAUUCCUAACGGAUUGCAAAUAUUACAAGAGAGCCCUCGGGAGUAUCGAUGGCUUGUUGCGCCCUUUUCCGGUCCAGCUAGCGAAGAAAACGACAUGUACGCGGAUGUGAAAGUUGAUAAUUUGUUCGUUACAACCGUGGAAGAAAAUCGACGUACAACAGCGGAAGACCAUUUUCAAGAUGUGAGAUUCAUUACGUUUACGAAGAAAAGUGUCAACUGGAGUCCAGGCGACGUGGUAUAUGUUCGCCCCCAUAACUCCCCCGAAGACGUAGAUAGACUUUUCGAGUUGUUCCAAGAGCAUAAUAUGAAACUGAACAAAUCUACCGUUGUCCUGGUGCAGGAAAUCGAUUCCGGACUUCCUACUGCAAAAGUACAAAUGGAACAAGAUAUGGAGCAUGCAAGCUUGAUUCGUCAAAGGGUGAUUAAAUAUUAUCAGACAAGGUCCGGUGACUACAACUUGCAAGAAUUUCUCCAAUCGUUAGAAAGGAUAGUAAUAUCUGUUUCGAAUGAACAACAAAUCAUGAUGGCAAAACUACAAUGCCCGUUGUGCCCGGCAGGUAGUUUAAUCACUUGUCGGCCAGAGAAAUCAGGACUGUGGAAAAUUUCAAACUUUGUCGCACACAUUAAAAAUGUGCACAAAUUUGUUUCGGAGGAAACAACAGAAACCCGUAAAAGACCAACCGUUGAACGAAAGGCCUUCGCAAGGUCGGAAAAUUCAGAAGAAAAUGCAGAGCCAUCAUCUUCAAAAUUCGUCAAACUAACACUACCGGAAGUGCGGUAUGAUGUUCAGUCGGAAACAACAGUGCUUGAGAACUCACCAGAAACGUUGCAAGAUGAGAGCGUGCAAGUUAUAGAUUGCAACUCACACAGCAUCAUAGCCAAUUCUUCUAAGGCCGAUUGGAGUGAUGAUAAUUCCAAGGAUCCGCUCGCUGUAUCCCAAGUAAACGGUGAGGCUUUCGAUUUAAUUAUCGAAGAAAUUGAUGCCACCGGGUUUGAGCAACUAUUAAGUGAUUCCGAGGUGAGAUCCGAAUCUGAAGAGGUCGUCGAGGAAACCAUGUCAGAAGAUCUACUUUCAAAAUCAAAUAAUGACAUGCAAAGUAGAGUUUUAAACUUGUAGAGUGCUGCGAUGAGGCCGAUCGCAGUACGAAUGAUUCCACGGCCAGUCUGGAGCUCCAAUUGCAUGUUGCUAGUAGGUCGAAUUCUACUGUACCUAAAGGGAUGCGAUAUUCAUCUUUGGAAAAGGAUUUUUACACAUACAGAUUCAUUCAGGGGGGGAGAGAGCUUUAUACGUUUGAAAAAGCAAAUGCACCCUCUCCUCAUAUUAGGACUUUACAGCGACACCUUAAAAAUCAAGCUUCAGAAAUGACUGAAGGCUGCUUGAUGAUAAAAGAGCUAAAAGCAUACCUUGAAUGCAACGGAUAUCCUCCACAAAUUUGCUGGAGUGAAGAUGCCACUCGGAUCACAGGAGGCGUUGAAUAUAUCCGAUACAGAUCAGCUGAGUGGUCUUGUUGCAACACUAGACACUAAUACUGGGUUACCAAUCAUAGGACUUUUUGACUGUUCAACUCCACAAAAAGUUAUUAGCCAUCUUCGAAAGUAUCCUGUAGGCAGAAACGUACAGUUGGCCAUGGCUCAACCUAUAGCAACUGGAGCAUCACCGUUUUGCUGCCUAUACUACUGUACUGAUAACCGAUUUGAUACAGAGUCAGUUAAAAUUAAAUGGCAUCACGUUGAACAACAGCUUCAAAAAGAAGGAAUUGAAUUGGUUGCAAAAGCAACGGACGGUGAUAGCAGGUUCAUUAGAGCUAUGGUGGAUGAGAUGGGAUUCGCCACAGAACAGCUUGGUAGUUUUGGAAGUUGGUUCAUUGGCAGCGAGUCGGCCAUAUGCAUUCAAGAUCCAACACAUUUGGCGAACAAAAUGCGAACCCGUCUCAUGAAUCCGAAAAAACAAUUGAUAUUGGGCAACUACAGUGUAUCCCGGAUACAUUUGCAUGAACUUAUAUCAUCUGUAUCAAAAGACCAACAUGGACUGACUCUGAAUGAUUUAAUGGAAAAGGACAAGAUGAAAUUUAAACCAGUAGAAAAAAUGACCCAGCGAAGAGUGAUUUCCUGCUUAGAUAAGAUCCCUGACAGUACCGGUACUGCAGUGUACUUAAACGCGAUUAGUCACGUCAUGUCAUCGUACAUGAAUGCUGAACCAUCGCCGUUACAGAAAGUGUACAAUAUUUGGCACGUUCUGUUUUUGAUACGAGCAUGGCGUAAUUGGUGCGUAGCUAAAUUCAACAAUUUGCAAAAUUGUGUUACCACCAAUGUGUAUUGGGGUGUUGAAAUCAAUGCGCAUGCUCUAAUCAAUUACAUUGUCUAUUGUCGUGACACUGGUGCAACGUUCAAUACUACAUUGCUUCAAAGCCAAGCUUGUGAAGGGACAUUUCGAGAUGCUCGCGCCUUUUCGUCAACGGAAUCAACUGUUGUAAAUUUCACUAUGCAAGGCUUUGAAUCUCGAUUAAAUAAAAUCCAGUUUAAAAGAAACGUUAUGCACAGAAACCAGCACUCAUUAAACUUACCUUCUUUAAGCAAAAAAGCAGACUCAAAUGGUAUUGAAAUGCCGGCAAACGAAGAAAUUAUUGAAGCUGUUGAACAAUCUCGUGCGGCUGUCCAUGAGACUUUGGUUGAUCUAGGAAUUGAUGCAAGCCAAAUUUCAUUCGAAAGUAGUGUCACUACCAAACACCUUAAGGAAAAACCAAGUCAAACAUCUGACGAUUUUGAGUUCAUAACAGUGUCUGCGGAGUUUGAAGCACUCGAAAAGGAAAAUUUCGACCCUGAUGUACACGAUGCGGAUGAGUUGUUCCAUAAUAUUGGAGAAGAAAUAAUGUUAAAGGACUCUCAAAACUAUAAAAACGUUUUUAAGAUCAAAAACCGCCAAAACAAGAUUGUACAUGUUAAGAAACGAACAUUCUUGUGGAUGUUGACGUCCGGGCUGCAAAAAUGCUCCACGGAUCGAAAUUAUCGCUUUAUCGACAAACAAGAUAAAAGCGACAAUCCGAAAUAUGUGAACGAAAUUUACGAAAAUAUUGUUGUUGGAGAGUAUGUACUUCUUAAAGAGGAUAGUGUGCUGACUGUUUUCAAAGUCUAUGGCUUCAAAUACUUAAAAGGAAAGAACUGUGCAUAUUCGGCAUCAAUAGCUCCUGUACGACCUCCUAAUAAUGUGGAACCAAGAGGUAUUGGACUUCAAGGCUGUACAUUUGAUAUUAUAGAAUGCGACGGAGAAUAUGUUCUAGAUUUAGCAAGCAAUAAUGUCAUUAAAGACAUAAAGUACUAUAUGUCACAUUUGCAAAAGCCUGCAGUAUUGUCAGCGUUGUUAUAUUACUGUGAAGAUUGCGUUACAUACAUAAAGAAAUUUAAGUAGAUCAGAGAUUCCAACUACCAGAAUGAUCAUGUAUUGAUGACUAAUCGAAUAUUAAAUAAAUGUUCAAAACAAAA